rnacentral:lncRNA from 1 species
GACACCAAAUAAAUUCAAGACUCUCCACUUGGACAUUUUAAAUUUAAUUACAUUGUAACUUAGUAGUCUAGAUGUUUUUAAUUAAACUUGUGCAUUGGGCCACUAUUGACAAAUUUAUGAUGGGCCCAUAUUGAAGGGAGACACUUGGCACCUANGGUUUUUCAAUUAGGUGNACCCCACCCUAACAUUUAGUGACUCACGGCCAUAUAGGUGUUACCANCCGUCAUUCAUUUUGGGAGACACACACUCUCGGCAGAAAAGAUUUUUGGGGCACUCUCUNGGCUGCAAGCUGCUGGAAAACAAUGUUUUUGGUCUUAGGAAUUGGUUGAAUGAAAGCAUAAUUGUUUACCUAUUNAGUAGCUGCAGCGUUUGGAAAAAAGGAAGUGCUGGAACGUUAGCAGCCGCCACCCUCAUACUGGAGUUUUUGUUGAAAGUUUUUAUGGAACGCAAAGCAAAGAACACUUCUCCUUUUCAUUUUCCUNGAAGCGCUGAUUCACACAUUACAUUUUAAUUUCCUUUUCUUCAAGAGAGACACGUGUUUUAUUUCAAUUGAGGGAGUGAUUCAUUUUCUUAUCUUUGCUUGGAUAAAGAAAACNUUGAUUCACUUUCCUGGUAAGAUGAGCUAGGUUUAUUCUUCUUUUGCAUUCAGUGAAUGGGGCUGCUGUCACACGUUCAUUUUUCUUUGGGAAACGUUGUUUCAAUUGGAGAAAUGAGAAGGAGCUCAUGGGUUGCAUCAUGCCACCUCUAACAUUUUUUUUAGCACGGUGAUUUUUGAUUUGGUGAGAUUAUGGGUGAUUGAAUUUGGGAGGUGUAGCCGCAGCCUUCGUUGGAUGUUUCUUUCUUUUAAAAAGCAAAAGUUGAUUAAGAUUGAAAGGCGC